rnacentral:rRNA from 1 species
UACGUAGGGUGCAAGCGUUGUCCGGAAUUAUUGGGCGUAAAGAGCUCGUAGGCGGUUUGUCGCGUCUGCCGUGAAAGUCCGGGGCUCAACUCCGGAUCUGCGGUGGGUACGGGCAGACUAGAGUGAUGUAGGGGAGACUGGAAUUCCUGGUGUAGCGGUGAAAUGCGCAGAUAUCAGGAGGAACACCGGUGGCGAAGGCGGUUCUCUGGGCCUUACCUGACGCUGAGGAGCGAAAGCAUGGGGAGCAAACAGG